rnacentral:SRP_RNA from 1 species
CGGUCCCCCCGCAACAAUAAGCUGUGAAUCCCGCCAGGCCCGGAAGGGAGCAACGGUAGCAGUGGAUUUGGGUGCCGGGGUGCGGCUG